UCCUACGGGAGGCAGCAGUGGGGGAUAUUGCACAAUGGGGGAAACCCUGAUGCAGCAACGCCGCGUGAAGGAAGACGGUCUUCGGAUUGUAAACUUUUGUUCUUAGUGAAGAAACAUGACGGUACCCGAGGAGGAAGCCACGGCUAACUACGUGCCAGCAGCCGCGGUAAUA
rnacentral:rRNA from 1 species